ACCUUAUGCAUCCUCCUUUCGAUGGUCUUCCUCUAUUCUUCCUUGAUGGAUCCAUGUCUUCUAGUCGCUUUAGGCGGACCAGCGAGUUCAUGAGCAAGUGGAUGAACAAGUAGCGAGUGAUGGAUCCAUGUCUUCUGAAUAUCUUGAUACCAAUUCUAUUUGAGUGCAUGUCCUGUGUUUUGUACCUUCAGCCCAAACAUUAAUUAGUUGUAUAGAAGGCAUGUCCUCUUGAUAUCAUGAAUGGGGGUCAUCUUACUUUGCAUUGUAUGAACUUCACACUGUCAAUGAUAUAUC
rnacentral:lncRNA from 1 species